UGCCCCCUUCUCUCUUUGCCAAUUGAACUUAUGUCUUAAUUGGUCAUUCAAGUGAGGCAAACGAAGUGUUCUUUUAAAACUCACACAAACUGGGUUUGUUUUGCAUCCUGUUAGGGGAAACAGUA